ACUCUCCAGUCUGUGUUGCUCUCUGUCGCCCUCUGUUGUUCAACUCUGAUCAUAAAGUUUUGUCUCCGAGGAAAUGAAACCUUGCUUGCUAUAAAAAUCAGCCCAUUUCAGAGCAGACGCAGAGCAGAUAAAGACAUGGACCCCGUGACAGCUGUGUGCAGUGCUGCAGGAGCAGUAGGUGCUGUAGUCGCCGCUCCUGCUCUUCUGGGAGCUGCUGGUUUCACCUCAGCAGGAAUAGCUGC